AGAAUCAACGCUGGCGGCGUGCCUAACACAUGCAAGUCGCACGAGAAAGGGGAGCAAUCCCUGAGUAAAGUGGCGCACGGGUGAGUAACACGUGACUAACCUACCCUGGAGUGGGGGAUAACUGAGGGAAACCUUAGCUAAUACCGCAUAACACCUACGGGUCAAAGGAGCAAUUCGCUUUGGGAGGGGGUCGCGGCCGAUUAGUUAGUUGGCGGGGUAAUGGCCCACCAAGACAGUGAUCGGUAUCCGGCCUGAGAGGGCGCACGGACACACUGGAACUGAAACACGGUCCAGACUCCUACGGGAGGCAGCAGUGGGGAAUUUUGCGCAAUGGGGGAAACCCUGACGCAGCAACGCCGCGUGGAGGAUGAAGUACUUCGGUACGUAAACUCCUUUCGAUCGGGACGAUAAUGACGGUACCGGAAGAAGAAGCCCCGGCUAACUUCGCGCCAGCAGCCGC
rnacentral:rRNA from 1 species